GCUCCACCGCCCCCCGGGGGCGCCCGCGAUGUUCCCUGGCCGCCUUGCGCUCGGCCUGCUUUUGUGCUAAGGGCUGUAAAAUCAAGCCGGUUGCGUCCUCUGCGUUAGGCGGUGGGGAGAGGAGCCGGCCCUCUGCAGGCCGCGGCAGCCUGGCGGGCGGGGAGGUGCUUCGCAGCGGGCCUGGCGUGCUCCCUCGGUAAACUCCCCUGAGGAAAAGGACGCUGAAGGUGUCGGAAAAGCAAACAGGUUCUGUGUUUUAAAGGACUAGGUACCGUAUCUCAUCAGGAUCUGAGAGGAACACGCUUGGGAAGCCCAUCUCUUAUUCAUGACUAUUCUGGUCUUCAUUCCUGCAUUUAUCGCGGUCUCUGAGGAGCCGCAGGAAGAGGCGGCAGGGUGAGAGCAGCAGGUGUGGGGAAACACCUGUGCAGCCGCGCUGCGAGGGCAUGUGAGCCAGCGCUUUGCAAGUCCAGUAGGUACAAGAUCCCAGAGACCCAAGAGGAGGUUCUAAUGACUCAGCUUAGACGUUUUGGGAAGAUGAGUUCCCGGCUGUGCUGUUGUAACCUG
rnacentral:lncRNA from 1 species